CAAUUGCAAAAACACCCCUCAACAAUAAGCAGUCUGCGAACUGCACUGCAUACUGUUUAACACUGUGAUACCCCAAUAAUCCCACAUCGGAUGGGAAUGGGAUUAUCAUUGGGUUUAGAAGAGACUUAGACACUAGUAAUAAUAACUGGGCUUAAGCAUUUUGGGCCUGUGGUUGGGCCCAACGAGUUAUUGUUACUAGUGGGCUGGGUCGUUACAUUUGGUAUCAGAGCCGGUUCACCAGCUGGACAUAUGUGGCGAGUUUCGGCUGAGCCAGGGUCUGGAUGACGGGCUAGCGAGACGAGUCUCACAUCGCCUGGUGAUCUUGGGCUGUGUGUGUGAUUGGACUGACGAGGACGUUAGGGCCUUAACGAGGGGAGUCU
rnacentral:lncRNA from 1 species